GACGAACGCUGGCGGCAUGCCUAAUACAUGCAAGUCGAACGAGCUUCCGUUUGAAUGACGUGCUUGCACUGAUUUUAACAAAUGAAGCGAGUGGCGAACUGGUGAGUAACACGUGGGAAAUCUGCCCAGAAGGCAGGGGAUAACACUUGGAAACAGGUGCUAAUACCGUAUAACAACAAAAUCCGCAUGGAUUUUGUUUGUAAAGGUGGCUUCGGCUAUCACUU
rnacentral:rRNA from 1 species